rnacentral:rRNA from 1 species
GAUGAACGCUAGCUACAGGCUUAACACAUGCAAGUCGAGGGACCGGCGCACGGGUGAGUAACACGUAUCCAACCUGCCCUUUACUCGGGGAUAGCCUUUCGAAAGAAAGAUUAAUACCCGAUAUAAAGGAUGGGGAUGCGUGCCAUUAGGUUGUUGGAAAGGUAACGGCCCGCCAAGCCUUCGAUGGAUAGGGGUUCUGAGAGGAAGGCACACCACAUCGGAACUGCGACCCGGUCCAAACUCCUACGGGAGGAAGCAGUGAGGAAUAUUGGACAAUGGGCGCGAGCCUGAACCAGCCAAGUAGCGUGCAGGGUGACGGCCUAUGGGUUGUAAACUGCUUUUGUAUGGGGAUAGGUACCAGACGAAUAAGGACCGGCUAAUUCCGUGCCAGCAGCCGCGGUAAUUC